ACAGCUAUAUCACGUUGAAACACCAGUACUCAUACAGUCACAGAAGUUAAGCAGCAUUGAACCUGUUCAGUACCUAGAUGGGUGAUGACUUGAGAAUACCAGGUCCUGUAAG